CCUACGGGUGGCAGCAGUGAGGAAUAUUGGUCAAUGGGCGCGAGUCUGAACCAGCCAAGUAGCGUGAAGGAUGACUGCCCUACGGGUUGUAAACUUCUUUUAUAAAGGAAUAAAGUGAGGCACGUGUGCCUUUUUGUAUGUACUUUAUGAAUAAGGAUCGGCUAACUCCGUGCCAGCAGCCGCGGUAAUACGGAGGAUGCGAGCGUUAUCCGGAUUUAUUGGGUUUAAAGGGUGCGUAGGCGGAUUGUUAAGUAAGCGGUAAAAGCCCGGGGCUAAACCCCGGCAAGCCGUUGAAACUGGCUGUCUUGAGAGGAGGAGAGGUAUGCGGAAUGCGCGGUGUAGCGGUGAAAUGCUUAGAUAUUGCGCAGAACUCCGAUUGCGAAGGCAGCUUACCGGCGGCGAUCUGACGCUGAGGCACGAAAGCGUGGGUAUCAAACAGGAUUAGAUACCCCGGUAGUC
rnacentral:rRNA from 1 species